AGUGUAAGAUUAGGCUCACAUGUGUUCAGCUCUGUGUCUGUGAAGAGUGACCAUUCAAAAACGGAUAUACCCAACUUCAGUGAGAAAACUCCAACAUCACCUACCAAAAGUGUAAGAUCAGACUCUCAUGUGUUCAGCUCUGUGUCUGUGAAGAGUGACUGUUCAAAAGAUUUUCAGCCACCAAACAUCAGUGAGGAAACACCAUCAUCACCUACCAAAAGUUAUAAAGGACAGAAGACCACAAUAAAUAUUGGAGCAGAAUUUACACGGUGGCAAACAUUAAAAGCACAGAAGGGAUUGAAGAGUGAUGUAGAACUGGCAACUUUUCUUCUCAACAGGUGUGGACACAAUAUACCACACUUUACCUUGCACUGUUAAAUUAACAACAUAAGCUACCAUGCCAUAAUUUGUAAUUAA